rnacentral:misc_RNA from 1 species
AACGCACAUUGCGCCCGCCAGCAUUCUGGCGGGCAUGCCUGUCCGAGCGUCAUUUCCCCCCUCAGCACGCCCUUCUUGCAAGGGAGCGCUGGCGUUGGGGCUCCUCCGCCCUCUGUGGCGGCAGGGCCCUCAAAUCCAGUGGCGGGCCCGGCUGGUUGGCUCCGAGCGCAGUACCGAACGCAAGUUCUCUCUCUCGCUCUGCAGCCCCGGCCGGCGCCCUGCCGUCAAGCCGCGCAGGCGAACCCUCUCGGGGGCCGCCUCGCACUUUUUACAAGGUUGACCUCGGAUCAGGUAGGACUACCCGCUGAACUUAA